AGUGAACGCUGGCGGCGUGCUUAACACAUGCAAGUCGAACGAGAACGGAUUAUAGCUUGCUAUAAUUGUCAGCUAAGUGGCGCACGGGUGAGUAAUGUAUAGGUAAUAUGCCUCUUACUAAGGGAUAACAAUUGGAAACGAUUGCUAAUACCUUAUACUCCUUGUUAACUUAAGUUAAUAAGGGAAAGAUUUAUUGGUAAGAGAUUAGCCUGUAUUGUAUCAGUUAGUUGGUGGGGUAAUGGCCUACCAAGACUAUGACACAUAACUGGUUUGAGAGGAUGAUCAGUCACACUGGAACUGAGACACGGUCCAGACUCCUACGGGAGGCAGCAGUGGGGAAUAUUGCACAAUGGACGAAAGUCUGAUGCAGCAACGCCGCGUGGAGGAUGACACAUUUCGGUGCGUAAACUCCUUUUAUAUGAGAAGAUAAUGACGGUAUUAUAUGAAUAAGCACCGGCUAACUCCGUGCCAGCAGCCGCGGUAAAACG
rnacentral:rRNA from 1 species